rnacentral:antisense_RNA from 1 species
CUUCAGUGAUCCGAGCCACAACGGCUGCUCAGCAGGGCGGUUCUUGCCGUAGGUGUCCAGCAGCGCCUGCGCCUC